rnacentral:rRNA from 1 species
CCUACGGGAGGCUGCAGUCGAGAAUCUUCCGCAAUGGGCGAAAGCCUGACGGAGCGAUGCCGCGUGAGGGAUGAAGGCCUUCGGGUUGUAAACCUCUGUCAGAGGGGACGAAGAAUGUGACGGUACCCUCAGAGGAAGCCACGGCUAACUACGUGCCAGCAGCCGCGGUAAUACGUAGGUGGCGAGCGUUAUUCGGAUUCACUGGGCGUAAAGGGUCCGUAGGGGGUCUGCCAAGUCUGAUGUGAAAUCCCGCGGCUCAACUGCGGAACGGCAUUGGAUACUGGCGGGCUGGAGUCUGCGAGGGGUGAGCGGAAUUCCUGGUGUAGCGGUGGAAUGCGUAGAUAUCAGGAAGAACACCGAUGGCGAAGGCGGCUCACUGGCGCAGUACUGACCCUGAGGGACGAAAGCGUGGGGAGCAAACAGGAUUAGAUACCCCUGUAGUC